rnacentral:rRNA from 1 species
AUACCCGCUGAACUUAAGCAUAUCAAUAAGCGGAGGAAAAGAAACCAACAGGGAUUGCCUCAGUAACGGCGAGUGAAGCGGCAAUAGCUCAAAUUUGAAAUCUGCUCUUUGAGCCGAAUUGUAAUUUGUAGAGGAUGCUUCGGCUUACGUUUCGGUCUAAGUUCCUUGGAACAGGACGUCACAGAGGGUGAGAAUCCCGUUUGUGGCCGAGACUUCCGCCAUGUGAAGCUCCUUCGACGAGUCGAGUUGUUUGGGAAUGCAGCUCUAAAUGGGAGGUAUAUUUCUUCUAAAGCUAAAUACCGGCCAGAGACCGAUAGCGCACAAGUAGAGUGAUCGAAAGAUGAAAAGCACUUUGGAAAGAGAGUUAAAAAGUACGUGAAAUUGUUGAAAGGGAAGCGCUUGCGACCAGACUUGCCCGCGGAUGCUCAACCGGUCCUUCGGCCGGUGCACUCUUCCGCGGUCAGGCCAGCAUCAGUUCGAGUAGUCAGAUAAAGGCUUAGGGAAUGUGGCUCUCUUCGGGGAGUGUUAUAGCCCUUUGUGCAAUAUGGCUUACUUGGACUGAGGCCCGCGCUUCGGCUAGGAUGCUGGCGUAAUGGUCGUAAGCGGCCCGUCUUG